CUGGCGACCGGCGCACGGGUGAGUAACACGUAUCCAACCUGCCGAUAACUCGGGGAUAGCCUUUCGAAAGAAAGAUUAAUACCCGAUGGCAUAAUUAGACCGCAUGGUCUUAUUAUUAAAGAAUUUCGGCUAUCGAUGGGGAUGCGUUCCAUUAGGCAGUUGGUGAGGUAACGGCUCACCAAACCUUCGAUGGAUAGGGGUUCUGAGAGGAAGGUCCCCCACAUUGGAACUGAGACACGGUCCAA
rnacentral:rRNA from 1 species